AACAGAUGACCGUAAUCAAAAGUCCCCAACGUACAGUUGGAAUUGCAGGGCUGCAGCAUGAGUUUGGCAAACAACGUUCCUCUACUUUCUCAACCUAACAAUAAUAAAAGUAAUAUGCAACAUGAAAAACUUUCAACUAUAAAAAGCUUCACAUAGAAAUUUUUUUUUCCUAUAUGAAUCACAUAGUAUGCAUAAUAAGAGCUUCAAAUUUUUGCAAGACAGAACAUGGGAAAAGUCUUUACUGUGAAUCUGAGAUGGUGCUAUCUAGAUACUAAGCGUAAACCAAGGAUACAAAAACUAAUAACAUGAAAAACAGCUUCCAUGUUAAUAACAAGCUACCUGUAUUUUAAAUGCAGCUGCCAAUUCUGCUUCAUUUAGCAACCACUAGAACCGACUCCAAUUUCGCUCAAGGUUUUGCUAAUUGUAAAUCCACAAUUUCCAUUAGCAACCUAUAAAAGAACUAUGUCAAAACAUGUGUCCAUAAAGGUGAAACAUAGAGAAACAUAGAUAAUGUCUGUUAAAAUUCGUGUGUGAAUACAUUCAAGGCAAUACUUAAGAAUGACUUGAUACAAAGAGCCAAUCUCACACAUUUAACAACAUCUCACAAGUCAAUAAGUCCAAUCCACUUUUUAAAAAAUUAAUCCAAUCCAAACAUUCGACAUCAAUUCAACAAACCAAAAUAAUAACUAAUGACUUCAACCACCUCCUAAAACAAUUACUAACACACAAGCCUUCACUAAACCAAAACCAAACGCCAACACAAUAGGUUUACUACCUUUCUCUAUUGCCGAAACAAUAGCUAUGCAAGAGGAGUUUCCUCUCCUUCUCUAUUGAACUGCAGUACUGAACUCCAGGCCUCCAAAGCUCAUCCUUUCUCCUUAAAGAAGGAAAUUAAACCAAGUAAGAGAGUGUUUAGUGAAUUGCUUCCGAACUCCAUAAACAAAAACCACCACUCAAUUCUAGAAGUAACAUUGGAUGACACUAGACAGACAUACUUGGCCUCAUCUUCAACAUCUUUAGUCACCACUUGAUAAAAAUAACAGGAAAGACCCGUGAUUACACUUAAACCACUUGAUACAUCUUUAGUCACCAUUCAUAUUAGACUACUAUUAGUC
rnacentral:lncRNA from 1 species